ACAGCAUGUAGUCGAUGCGCCUGCCAUUGCCCUUCAACAGGUCCUUGCGGCCCUUCUGGCCUGCCCCAGGACUCUUGCUGGUGGGGAAGGCAAGGUACUCCCGGCGGCCUUCUUCGCUCUCCAAGACCCUGCUCAAGCGGACAGAAAGGCCAGGUACUGGGAAGGAGGGACACUCAUCUGAACCUGGGAGUUCCUGACUGAACUGGGCCACUUCAGUCAUGUCCACCUUGGGCUUGGCCGUGGCUGUGACUUGGACCCAGCACCACUUAGAGCCUGUGGCUGAGUUGGGACAGAACUGCCCGACUCCACUGCAGAAUGGGGUUCUGCUCCAAGCUGUUGGUGGCUACCAGCUCCUGGGCUCCCUGGAGCAGAUGCCAUCCCCAGGGCUCUUCUACAGGGCCCUUGGCAGCUCUUGGCUGGUCCAGGAAACCACCCCAGGACCUCUCUCUCCUCGAGGGUGUCUCCUCGAGGGCUUCUCCUCGGUAAGCCCAGCCCUGGGGCAGCUCCACGGCCUCCACCUGCCCCAGCUUCAGUCCCCGGGGCUCCUACAGGUGUCCGUCCCACAGAGCUGUGUUCUCUGUCUGCCCUGACUCUCCAUACCUGAGUCAGGGCUCCACACUCAUCCCAGACCUGGCAGCCAGCCUGGGACCUGACACGCCCACCCGCCUGCCGCGGAGUGGGUGCUGGG